UACGUAGGUGGCAAGCGUUGUCCGGAAUUAUUGGGCGUAAAGCGCGCGCAGGUGGUUUCUUAAGUCUGCUGUGAAAGCCCACGGCUCAACCGUGGAGGGUCAUUGGAAACUGGGGAACUUGAGUGCAGAAGAGGAAAGUGGAAUUCCAAGUGUAGCGGUGAAAUGCGUAGAGAUUUGGAGGAACACCAGUGGCGAAGGCGACUUUCUGGUCUGUAACUGACACUGAGGCGCGAAAGCGUGGGGAGCGAACAGG
rnacentral:rRNA from 1 species